UGCCUGAUGGAGGGGGAUAACUACUGGAAACGGUAGCUAAUACCGCAUAACGUCGCAAGACCAAAGAGGGGGACCUUCGGGCCUCUUGCCAUCGGAUGUGCCCAGAUGGGAUUAGCUAGUAGGUGGGGUAACGGCUCACCUAGGCGACGAUCCCUAGCUGGUCUGAAAGGAUGACCAGCCACACUGGAACUGAAACACGGUCCAGACUCCUACGGGAGGCAGCAGUGGGGAAUAUUGCACAAUGGGCGCAAGCCUGAUGCAGCCAUGCCGCGUGUAUGAAGAAGGCCUUCGGGUUGUAAAGUACUUUCAGCGGGGAGGAAGGGAGUAAAGUUAAUACCUUUGCUCAUUGACGUUACCCGCAGAAGAAGCACCGGCUAACUCCGUGCCAGCAGCCGCGGUAAUACGGAGGGUGCAAGCGUUAAUCGGAAUUACUGGGCGUAAAGCGCACGCAGGCGGUUUGUUAAGUCAGAUGUGAAAUCCC
rnacentral:rRNA from 1 species